rnacentral:rRNA from 1 species
AUUGAACGCUGGCGGCAGGCCUAACACAUGCAAGUCGAGCGGUAGAGAGGAGCUUGCUUCUCUUGAGAGCGGCGGACGGGUGCGUAAUGCCUAGGAAUCUGCCUGGUAGUGGGGGAUAACGUUCGGAAACGGACGCUAAUACCGCAUACGUCCUACGGGAGAAAGUGGGGGAUCUUCGGACCUCACGCUAUCAGAUGAGCCUAGGUCGGAUUAGCUAGUUGGUGAGGUAAAGACUCACCAAGGCGACGAUCAGUAACUGGUGUGAGAGGAUGAUCAGUCACACUGGAACUGAGACACGGUCCAGACUCCUACGGGAGGCAGCAGUGGGGAAUAUUGGACAAUGGGCGCAGCCUGAUCCAGCCAUGCCGCGUGUGUGAAGAAGGUCUUCGGAUUGUUAAGCACUUUAAGUUGUAAGGAAGGUAAGUAGCUUAAUACGUUGCUGAUUUGACGUUACCGACAGAAUAAGCACCGGCUAACUCUGUGCCAGCAGCCGCCGUAAGAC